GGAGACAUACUCAAGUGGCUGAAGAGGUGCCCCUGCUAAGGGUAUAGGUCGGGCAACCGGCGCGAGAGUUCGAAUCUCUCUGUCUCCG
rnacentral:tRNA from 1 species